rnacentral:rRNA from 1 species
CAGCCGCCCGGUAAUACGAAGGGGGCUAGCGUUGUUCGGAAUUACUGGGCGUAAAGCGCACGUAGGCGGCUUUGUAAGUCAGAGGUGAGAGCCUGGAGCUCAACUCCAGAACUGCCUUUGAGACUGCAUCGCUUGAAUCCAGGAGAGGUGAGUGGAAUUCCGAGUGUAGAGGUGAAAUUCGUAGAUAUUCGGAAGAACACCAGUGGCAAAGGCGGCUCACUGGACUGGUAUUGACGCUGAGGUGCGAAAGCGUGGGGAGCAAACAGGAUUAGAUACCCCGGUAGUCCCUGUCUCUUAUACA